GAAGGUGUUGUUGUGCGUUGCAUUGACCCUGGUUGUCAUUAGAGCCCAACCAUAUCGAAGAGACAAGCCCGGUUUCUGCCCACCAGCUGAAGACGUCGGAGUCUGCGCUAACCUUUGCAACUCUGAUGAAAGUUGCCCUGGUAACCAAAAGUGCUGCAGCCACGGCUGCGGUCGAAGCUGUCAAGUGCCAACCAAACUCAACUGUGCAGCGGUGCUUUGUCAAAGACCAACCUGUAACAACUCCGUCCGACCCCCGGGCCAGUGUUGUGGAGUUUGCUACGGACCUCGAUACUAGGUCCGACAGUUUUGACAAGGGAUAUCGACGCUGGAGUUUGCUUUUGUGGUGCGGCAUGGAAAAGCUGACGUCAUCCCUGUUCAAAUAUGCGAAAAACUAUAUUCGAUUCUGAAAUUCUAAAAAAAAAUGCAUUUUAUUUAAUGCUUUCCGGUGGUUUAUAGAGAAAUAUCAGUGAAUUAAAACUGAUAAUUUCACUGUUUCAAACAGUGAAAAUUAUCAGUGAGAAUUAUUGAUAAUUUUCAUUGUUUACUGUGAAAUGACGUCAUUUUUUUGACGAAAUGACGUCAUUAUCUCAGCAAAAUUCGUUAGUUAAACUCUUGAACAAUGUAUAUAAACUGUGAAAAAUGCAUUAAAUAAAAAGAAAAUUUGUUGGAUUCGGUGGAUUAUCGACUUUAAUUCACUCGUGAUCAUAGAAAACAUAUAUUUUCACUCGUGGCUGCGCCACUCGUGAAAAUAUUAUUUUCUAUGAUCACUCGUGAAUUAAAAUCGAUAAUCCACCGGAUCCAACAAAUAUUCUCUAUGAAAUUGCUUUUGUAGCAAUUGGAAUAGAAGCUUUACCAUCGAUUUAACUUUUAAGAAUUUGCCCCAUAGCAAACCAA